rnacentral:tRNA from 1 species
GUGAACAUAGUUUUAACAUAAAACCUUAGGUUGUGGUCCUAAAAAUGAGAGUUAAUAUCUCUCUGUUCACC